GUACUCGAUAUGGCAACACACUUACUAAAAUUGGACCAAUACAGAGGUGGUUAGCACGGCCCUGUGCAAGGGUGACAUGCGAAUUUGUGAAGUGUUCCUAUUUUUG
ensembl:snRNA U6 U6 spliceosomal RNA